AUAAAAGCAGGGAUGUAUUGCCGAAUAUAUAUAUGUGAAUAUGUCUCCCGUAAACAUCAGGAAAAUAGAGCUGGGCAUUGUUAUUGGGUGAACCUCUUGAUUCUUUUCAUGACGGAUAAGGUUCAGUAAACGAAGCUAUAUUU